rnacentral:rRNA from 1 species
AGAGUUUGAUCAUGGCUCAGAUUGAACGCUGGCGGCAUGCCUUACACAUGCAAGUCGAACGGCAGCGCGGACUUCGGUCUGGCGGCGAGUGGCGAACGGGUGAGUAAUACAUCGGAACGUACCCUGUUGUGGGGGAUAACUAGUCGAAAGAUUAGCUAAUACCGCAUACGACCUGAGGGUGAAAGUGGGGGACCGCAAGGCCUCACGCAGCAGGAGCGGCCGAUGUCUGAUUAGCUAGUUGGUGGGGUAAAGGCCCACCAAGGCGACGAUCAGUAGCUGGUCUGAGAGGACGAUCAGCCACACUGGGACUGAGACACGGCCCAGACUCCUACGGGAGGCAGCAGUGGGGAAUUUUGGACAAUGGGGCAACCCUGAUCCAGCAAUGCCGCGUGUGUGAAGAAGGCCUUCGGGUUGUAAAGCACUUUUGUCCGGAAAGAAAUCGCGCUGGUUAAUACCUGGCGUGGAUGACGGUACCGGAAGAAUAAGCACCGGCUAACUACGUG